rnacentral:piRNA from 1 species
UGUGAGGCCAUAAGAGAGUUUCUCUCUUCUU